rnacentral:rRNA from 1 species
AUGCCAUUUCUCCUUCUGAUGUGGCUGGCAUUGUUGUCUGCCCAGACGCUCUCGGCGCCGGAUCUGCGCGACCCGGAGAUUUCCGGCCUGAUUGCCAGGAAGCUGCGGGAGUUUCACGAGCUCGACAUGCCUGGACCCAAGGACAUCUCACUCUGGCAGAGGCUGAGGCGUUGGCUUGAGGAAGCUCGCAGCAGGUGCUCGACUGAGGAGGCCAGGGAAUUGCGGUUGGAGACGCUCGGCGAUGAGAUUGCGGAGCUGGAGAAUGUAUUGUCCGGGGUCGAUCAGAGAGUAGUAUUUUGCCAUAAUGAUUUGCAGUAUGGCAACAUUAUGAUAUACGAAGAGACCAGACAAGUGACCUUAAUCGACUAUGAAUACGCCAGUUUUAACCCUGUUGCGUUCGACAUUGCGAAUCACUUCUGUGAGAUGGCUGCUGAUUAUCAUAGUGAUACACCGCACGUGAUGGACUUUACAAAAUAUCCUGACGUGGAUGAACAGCGGAGAUUUCUUGAGGCUUACCUUAGUUCUUCAGGAGAAAACACAUCCGAUGUAGAAGUCGAAACAUUGCUUGGCUUGAUUGCAAAGUACAGUCUCACAAGCCAUCUCUUCUGGGGUCUCUGGGGAAUAGUCUCGGCGCAUGUGAACAAGAACAUCGACUUUGAGUACAAGGAGUACGCGAGGCAUCGGUUCGACCAGUACUGGGACACGAAGCCUAGAAUACUGCAAGCCUGCAACCCAACCAGCUGA